AGAAGAAAUAUAUAUAAAAUUAUUAGUAAAUUAAAUUUAAUAACUUGAAAAAGAAGAAAAAAAUUGACAUGGAGCAGAAAUCUGAAAAUAAAAGCAAAGCAAGGCAGCUGCUAGAAAGGAAAGCUAAAACCAAGUAAAUUAGAGCCAGCAAUAAAUUUGUAUUUUUUUUUUUUUAAAUGAGAAUUUGGAUCACACAUUUAUUCAAAUACACUGUUAAGUCUGAAUGCAUAUAUUUAUAUAUUCUAAACAAGCUAAACUUUGGGGGGAAAAAAUUGUAAUUUAAAGAAAGUGGGACUGGGAGUGGGAAGCUUGCUGAGGGUGAGGGAACCAAUAAUAUUAUUGCCAUUGAAUUUAUGAGAAAUAGAAAUGAGAGAGAAGAUGGUAUUGAAUGUGUUAGAUGAGAAAGUUAAUGUGCUGUCCUUUUUUAGUUAACUUUAAAAAAUAAAAACUUUUUUUUUUUUUUAAGUUUGCUAGAGACUCUUUAGGAUCUAAUCUUUUUUCUUGGUUGGAGAAAUAAUUUUAAAUUUUGGUAUACAGAAUGUAAUAAGAUAAUAAUUUGAAUUUCUCUCUAGAUUGAAGUUCUCUCUCGAAUCAAUGGAGUUUCUCAAGGGGUUCCUAGAGUAGUCUCCUCUGCUCUCCUGACAGAAGAGGGUGGCUGCUGAGCUUAGUAAUUUAUUUGUAGAGUUUCUGUUUUCUCGUCUCCAGAUCUAUGGGUUUCUAUGGAUUUUUUUGGAUAAUCUGAUGCUUGUUAAAUUUUGUAGGUUUAUCUUACUGUAAGAAAAGUGGCUUCGGGAGGAUCUCUACAGGAAAAUGUCUUCGAGGGCAUGUUGUCGGUUGGUAGGCGCAAUCUUGGCUAUAAGAAAUUGAGAAGUUAGAUUCUCUAUUUUCCUCUCUCCUGAAGCUGUAUAAGAGUUUUACUAAAUUCUCCUGUGGUGUUGUUUUCAGCUUUGCAUGUCUCUUGGGACGAUGUCUUUCUAGCUCCCAUAAGGGAGAAGUGCUUGUUUGGUUCUUCUUCUCCGUUAGCAAGGCGGAGUACCUAAGUUGAUUUAUUUGUGAGUUGGGCUUCACAUCUGGGCCUUUAAGGCUCCCUUAUAUUGAGGCCUUCAAAAAAAAAAACACAUUUGCAAGUAUUUAAGUAAAGCACUGGAAUCAAUGAUUACUCCGUCCCGUUUCGGAAUAGAGAAAAAGGCUCAUGAAUGGCAAAAUCCCGAUGUCCAAGUCUGACGAGGAAACAACUCUACGGUGGCGUUUUAGUAAAGGCCACGCAAGUUCACAAGUGUAACUGUGUAAACAGAGAUGAAGUUAUUGUAUUUGUAAAGCCGACGCCAUUUACCAGUCCUGUCCAAGUUAUUUGAACCUCUUCUUUUUCUAGUAAAAAAUUUAAUCUACGAGGGUAAUUGCAUCUCAAUAGUAUUGGUAUCUCGCAUUUGAACCCAGUUGACUUGAUUUGAUACUUUAGAUAUGUUAGUCUGAAUGUGUUUUUUAGGCAGGCAGGCUUGCUUCGAUGGAUCACCCUCUGCUUUAGCCCGAGGAUUUUCGAAUGGUCCCUCUCGUUAUCAUAUGGGAAGUUUUUCCGACUAGUCAUUGAAAGUUAGCUUUGAAACCUCGAGGGAGAAAGGGUAAGCACAUAAAGCUAUAAAUCACACGUGCCAUAGGCAGGCAUGAUCAAGUUAAACUACCUAUUU